rnacentral:rRNA from 1 species
GACGAACGCUGGCGGCGUGCCUAAUACAUGCAAGUUGAGCGCUGAAGGUUGGUACUUGUACCAACUGGAUGAGCAGCUAACGGGUGAGUAACGCGUGGGGAAUCUGCCUUUUAGCGGGGGACAACAUUUGGAAACGAAUGCUAAUACCGCAUAAAAACUUUAAACACAAGUUUUAAGUUUGAAAGAUGCAUUUGCAUCACUCAAAGAUGAUCCCGCGUUGUAUUAGCUAGUUGGUGAGGUAAAGGCUCACCAAGGCGAUGAUACAUAGCCGACCUGGGAGGGUGAUCGGACACAUUGGGACUGAGACACGGCCCAAACUCCUACGGGAGGCAGCAGUAGGGAAACUUCGGCAAUGGACGAAAGUCUGACCGAGCAACGCCGCGUGAGUGAAGAAGGUUUUCGGAUCGUAAAACUCUGUUGGUAGAGAAGAACGUUGGUGAGAGUGGAAAGCUCAUCAAGUGACGGUAACUACACAGAAAGAGACGGCUAACUACGUG